GCAAUGGUGGUUCUGUGGUAGAAUUCUCACCUCCUACGCGGGCGACCUGGGUUCGAUUCCCGGUCAGUGCA
rnacentral:tRNA from 1 species